GGGGAUGUAGUUAACUAUAACAUUUAAUUUGCAUUUAAAAAGUACUACAAAGUCUUCCUCA
rnacentral:tRNA from 1 species